CAGUAGCCACGGUAAUACGAAGGGGGCUAGCGUUACUCGGAAUUACUGGGCGUAAAGGGAGCGUAGGCGGAUGUUUAAGUCAGAGGUGAAAGCCCAGGGCUCAACCUUGGAACUGCCUUUGAUACUGGACAUCUUGAGUGUGGGAGAGGUAAGCGGAACUCCGAGUGUAGAGGUGAAAUUCGUAGAUAUUCGGAAGAACACCAGUGGCGAAGGCGGCUUACUGGCCCAUUACUGACGCUGAGGCUCGAAAGCGUGGGGAGCAAACAGGAUUAGAUACCCCUGUAGUCCCUGUCUCUUAUAC
rnacentral:rRNA from 1 species